rnacentral:sRNA from 1 species
AGCCCAACACUGAUGAAGGGGGUGCCGUGCUCCCCAGCUGCGCCGACCUCUUUGUCUACUACAAGAAGUGCAUGGUGCAGUGCUCUCAGCUCAGUACUGGGGAGCCCAUGAUCGCCCUGACCACCAUUUUCCAGAAGUACCUCCGAGAAUAUGCCUGGAAAAUCCUCUCUGGCAACCUGCCCAAAACCACAACGAGCAGUGGAGGGCUGACCAUCAGCAGCCUCCUCAAGGAAAAGGAGGGCUCAGAAGUAGCCAAGUUCACUCUGGAGGAGCUCUGCCUCAUCUGUAACAUCCUGAGCACGGCAGAGUACUGUCUGGCCACCACCCAGCAGCUAGAAGAAAAACUCAAAGAAAAAGUGGAUGUAAGUCUGAUUGAACAAAUCAAUCUGACUGGAGAGAUGGACACGUUCAGCACCGUCAUCUCCAGCAGUAUUCAGCUGCUGGUUCAGGAUCUGGAUGCUGCCUGUGAUCCUGCCCUGACUGCCAUGAGCAAGGUAAGGUCUUGGGAAAUGGCAUCCUACAAACUAACGAGAGCAGCCCAAGGUGGCUUCUAUUGGCCCUUGUCUGUAGCUUCUCCAGGCUCAUCGGAGCGUAAAGGAUCAGCUGAGAGGAGAAUGGAAAGGCCCCCGGAGUUCCUGAAAGCACUCAGUUUGUGUCGCACCCACGUCAGUUCAGUUGCUUGUCCUUUUAGAAUGAGACAGAGCAUCACAGUAUUGGAGGAUGGCAAAAAAAAAA